GAACGCAAAAAAGUCUGAAAAAACUGGUGAAAAAAAUAAUAAUAAUAAUAAACUGAUGUAAAAAAAUAAAUAAAAUUUGAAUUUGCAGAAUAAAAAUUGUUUUUACCUACAAAUUUAACACUAGAAGUCCCAGGGAUUUCUAUAUCCCCCCAGAAGUCCCAGAGCAGGGUCAAAUGAACUCUAGGACCAAACUGACGACUCUGAUGGCUACAAUUUGCAUCUAUUCAUUUGUAAAUGAAUCACCUGAGAAAUCAGCAGGGGGGAGAGCCUGACUCUAACAAUGGAAGUCUGGAAUGUUAGGGGGAAGUGCCCUGGAAGCUAAAGUCACAAUGCCCCGUUUAUUAACUCGUUCUGCUUGAUGCUGGGGGAGAACAAACACAGACUACAAACAUUGAAAGAAACAGAGUCACCUCUUCCAACACACCUGAUUCAAAUGAUUAUCAGGCUUCUGCAGAGCUGGAUGAUCAUUUGAAUAAGGUGUGCUGAUUAGCGGCCCUCGAGGACCGGAAUUGGACACCCCUGGAAUACCAUGUUGUCAUGCAGCCUUUUGUGCUGUGGGGAAUAAAUAGCUGGCGGCUUCCACCUGCUGACACUCCACACUUAUUCUACUCAAAAUGCAGAGAAGGUUUACCACUCAAGAAGCGUUGGAAUUGAUCCUGAACAAUGCAAACCCUUGUGACUCAGAUGGGGAGGACAUAAACCUUCAGCCAAAUUCGGAUUCGGACUCUGAGCUGUCUUCAGAAGACGCGACUGCUCCUCAUCUGGAAAAGAGAGCUCGGUUGGAGAGUGAGCCCACAGAGACGGCGAAAGAGGGCACAGUGUGGCAUGAAGAACAUGUGGGUACAAUUCUCCGUUUCACUCCAAUGGAACCGUACGCUGCAGAUGGAGAGCCAACAGCAAAGGCCAGAAGAAGAAUCAGGAGUCGCCUUCAGAGCUUCCUCUGUUUCAUUACUGUUGGCAUGCUCCGUCCCAUUCAAGAAUGGACUAUUCAGCAUGCACGGCAAACGGAGCAGACGGACUGGUUCAUGAUCCUCCAUGAACUAAUGGCAUUUAUUUCUGUUAUUAUUUUGAGGGGGGUGACCAAGGUUCCAUCUCUGCGUGACAGCUGGUCAGCAUGCCUGGGAAACCCACUUAUCACUGGAAUUAUGUCACGAAACCGUUUCCAAGACAUCAUGCGUCACCUACGAUUUGAUGACAUGUUUACGCGCAGUGAGCGAGUGCAGACAGAUAAGUUUGCUGCAAUUUCGGAUGUGUGGGGAUCGUUUGUUACCAACUGCAUCACAUGCUACAACCCUGGUCGACACAUCACAAUUGAUGAACAGCUUUUCCCAUCGAAGACUCGCUGCUGUUUCCUGCAGUACAUUGCAACAAAACCCGACAAAUUUGGCAUAAAGUUUUGGGUGGCUUGUGAUUUGAAAACAAAGUACAUCUGCAAUGUCCUCCCAUAUCUUGGAAAGGACCCCAGUCGUCCCAGUGAGGAGAGACUUUCUGAGAGUGUGGUGAUGAAGCUGAUGGAACCAUUUAUGGACAAAGGCAGGACGGUCACCACGGACAAUUUCUUUACAUCACUG
ensembl:lncRNA